AUGGACAUGAGGGCCCCUGCUCAGCUCCUCGGGCUCCUGCUGCUCUGGUUACCAGGUGCCAGAUGUGACAUCCAGGUGACCCAGUCUCCAUCCUCCUUAUCUGCAUCUCUGGGGGACAGUGUCACUAUCACUUGUCGGCCCAGUCAAUUAAUUUAUAAUAAUUUAAACUGGUAUCAGAAGAAACCAGGAAAAGCUCCUAAACUCCUGAUCUAUAAUACAAAUAGCUUGGCAGAUGGGGUCCCAUCGAGGUUCAGUGGCAGUAGGUCUGCGACAGAUUAUUCCCUCACCAUCAGCAGCUUGCAGUCUGAAGACACUGCAACUUAUUACUGUCAACAAGGUCAUUAUAGUCCCAGUCUCUUUGGCGGGGGCUGGAGAAUCACC